rnacentral:siRNA from 1 species
AUUCUUAUUCGCGCGCGCGCGUGC